rnacentral:rRNA from 1 species
UGGGGAAUCUUGGUCAAUGGGCGAAAGCCUGAACCAGCGACGCCGCGUGAGUGAUGAAGGCCUUCGGGUUGUAAAGCUCUGUGGGGCGAGACGAAAGCCUACGUUCUAACAGGACGUAGUUUGACGGUAUCGCCUUAGCAAGCACCGGCUAACUCUGUG